rnacentral:rRNA from 1 species
GACGAACGCUGGCGGCGUGCCUAACACAUGCAAGUCGUGCGAGAAAGUUCCUUCGGGAGCGAGUAAAGCGGCGCACGGGUGAGUAACACGUAGGUAACCUGCCCCCCAGUCUGGAACAACUAGAGGAAACUCUAGCUAAUGCCGGAUGAGACCACGAUCCCUUCGGGGGUUGCGGCCAAAGAUGGCCUCUACUUGUAAGCUAUCGCUGAGGGAUGGGCCUGCGGGCCAUUAGCUUGUUGGUGAGGUAACGGCUCACCAAGGCUGUGAUGGCUAGCUGGUCUGAGAGGAUGACCAGCCACACUGGGACUGAGACACGGCCCAGACUCCUACGGGAGGCAGCAGUGGGAAUAUUGCGCAAUGGGCGAAAGCCUGACGCAGCGACGCCGCGUGGGUGAUGAAGGCCUCGGUCGUAAG